UCCGGCUUACACCGGCGGUCUCUCGUGAGUCCCCGACUUUACUCGCUGGUAACACAAGACGAGGGUUGCGCUCGUUGGCGGACUUAACCGUACACCUCACGGCACGAGCUGACGACAGCCAUGCAACAUCUGUUUUCAGGCCUCCUUGUGGGAGGGGCACCCCUUUCAGGGUGUUUCCUUCAAUGUCAAACCUGGGUAAGGUUCUUCGGUUAGUAUCGAAUUAAUCCACAUGCUCCACCGCUUGUGCGGGUCCCCGUCAAUUCAUUUGAGUUUCAACCUUGCGGCCGUACUCCCCAGGCGGGAUACUUAAUGCGUUAGCUGCGGCACAGGAGGGGUCGAUACCUCCUACGCCUAGUAUCCAUCGUUUAGGGCGUGGACUAC
rnacentral:misc_RNA from 1 species